rnacentral:lncRNA from 1 species
CAGAUCCAAACUGUAUCAACCAACAUGAUUUCACUGUGGCAGGAAACACUUGCCCAGAAAGCUAAAGAUUGCAAGUAACUUUAGUGUUUGUUUUAGGAAUUUCCCCUGAACUUACUUAAAACUGCCUAACUUUGGUAGAUUGCAACAAAUGACUGUUAACUCACCUUGCUAUCUCCAUGAUCUUGGAUUAUAUCAUGAUCCUAUUCAAUCUUAGACUUCCCCACACUGAAAGACCUUCCUUAAACCAGACUCUUAAACAUCAUAAACACUCUGAAUUUAUCUGUCCCACUCAGACAUUGUUAUGACCACCAGGGUAGUGCUUUUUCUUACUGCCAUGAGCUUUGCUUUAUCAACAUGUUGCCUUGGUGGUAUUUUAUGGGAGCCAGCAUUCGAUAAGCUGCAAUUUUCUUUUCCACACUAUGUAGUUGCUCCAAUCCUAUUUUAUCCAAUAUUCAUCCAUCCAUCCAGCCAGCCAGCCAGCCACUGAUUUAUUUAUUCAUUCAACAUAUAUUUAUUGAGUGCCUACUAUAUGUUCAGCACCCUUAGACCCUGGUUUAGUGAUGAUGGAUGAUGUUACAGCCCUUGUCUUUACAGCGUUCACCCUCUCCUUCAUCAUUACGUCACUUUCCUGCUGCUAGGUGAAGGGGCCCAGAAUAUGCCACUUUGGUUUAAGGAUUAUUUUGAGCUGAAGGCAAUUGGGAAAAUACAGCCACAGGAAAAGCUCUCUGUCCUUCUUCUUUCUGCCUAAAAGCAGGCCACGUUUCCCUUUGUAAAGGUAACAUAAAUUUCCACUUGUAAAGGAAUUGUGAAGUGGUGCCUCUCUCCAAUACCAGAAGAGGAGAAUAACUGUUAAUCACUGGAGAUGACUUAUCACUGGAGACAUUACCAAGGGAACAUGGAGACUAAGAAGUACUUUCUCCUUGAAUUGAUUUGUAAGUGGAACUUUCCAACAGCAAAACAGCUGGAUGUUUGUGCUUUUAAAAUCUGGACUCUGGACUUGAUCUUCAGAAGAACAGGAAGCAAGGUGUUUGCACUGAGUUUGACAUGCACAGUAGUGAUUAAUUGACUUGUCAGUGCUGGGCUUUCUUGCCUCUAAGGUCCUGCCUCUUGCUUCUUUUGCCCUGGUGUUAAUCCCAUGCAGCUGGUGCAGAAACAGAACCAAGAGCUUGGAAGUCACAAGGUGGCGCCACCCCAACUAGGACUGUUCUUUCAAAGCCCAGUGCCCAGUUGGUGAAAUGACCCACCAGCAUUGCACAGGAGAGCCCCAGAGAGAUAUGUCCAGGAUAUACGAUCAGUCUGGUGUUCUGAGCCUUAAGGUAUGGUUGCAGCGAUGACGCAUUGCAGAACCAAAGGAAUUUGUCCUUAGGAUAGACCUUCCAAAGGCCGAUCAACAGCGACAAAAAACAAGCUUUCAAACCAACAAGAGAAGACAUGAUUGCAGUGCCUUCAUAACGACAUUGCUUUAUUGAUGAAAUGCAAGGAAAACUACGUUAGAAUCUACUGAUUCUCUUUGAGAUCUAAUAAUACGCUUUAUUCAAAUCUUAUUCACAAACCACUUCCUCCACGGGUCUUUCACAGGAACUGAAAUUGGCCAGUUACAAACAGAAUUGGUUCUACUGUCCUUUGAAAUCACAGACGCAGACAUGUUUUAGAAUACAAAAGACACCAAGCUUUCUUUGGGAAACACGUCCUGUUUGGAAAAAAAAAAACUCACUUCUUAACAAAAAUUGAAAGCACGCCUAACUUCAGAUUUAUUUGAUUACAGAGUCUUUCUCAGGGCUAAUCAGUUUUAGAACAGGUUCCUACUGGCACCAGAGAGCCAAUAAAAAGUCCAGGAGAGAAGAGGUAACACAACAACUUAGGGAAACAAGGUUGUUUAUUUUUUUAAACAGUAUUCAUAUUUAUACCGCUGAGUGAAAUUAUUUAUACACACCCUGUAGGUUUUGCAUCUUCAGAAUUUGUUAGCAUUCAGAGGAUGAUAAACUGUACCUUGGACUUAUUUGUGAAAAAAUAUGUAGAUGACACCUGGUGGAGUUUAUUGAAACUAUUAUUCAGGUGUAGAGCCAGAGAAACUCAGCAGAAAGGGAAGCCGGGUUUUUAGAUGUCACAAUGGAUGGUUAAAAAUUUCAGCUUUGGGGCAACAUUAUAAUACUCAAAUUAUUUGCCUCUGGUCCUCAUUUUCUCCAUCUCUAGCAUCGGUUCUGAACUCAGGGUUUUCUGUAAAUAUUAAAUGGCAUAAUGCAUGCUGAGAGAUCUGUGUGGGCCCUCCCAGGGUUAAGAAUCCAAUAAAUGUUAGCUCAUGUAUCAUCAUUAUUACAGAGAA